UUUUAAUGAAACCCAAGGGACUGUACACGAGGCAGAAAAGCAAGACAUUUUUAAGAAGCAAUUUAAUAUUUCUCUUCCUGAUAUUGUGCUUUUUUCCCUUUGCCUUCUUAGAAUCCAAGAACUGUAAGAAGCUUGCUUUUUUUUUUUUUCUUUUUUUAGUUUCACUUUCGAGAUUGCAGCAGAUCUGCCAUGCCUCCCUGGUGAGAACGACUGAAUUCGGACUAAUGAAAAAAGGAAUGGUCAGCUGUUAUCAGAGUAAAUGAAGAGGGGAGAAUCAUGAACCAGAGUUUACCUUUUCAUAUCUACUUCUUUUUGGGACUGUUGCCCUUGUGGAUACCGUGUACAUCCUCUGCCAAUAAAUGUGUUGUUAGACAUGAAAUAGCUGACUGCAGCCAUCUGAAGUUGACUCAAGUGCCUGAUGACCUUCCGGCAAACAUAACAGUGUUGAAUCUCACCCAUAAUCAGCUCCGAAGAUUACCAUCUGCCAAUUUUACAAGAUAUAGCCAACUUACUAUCUUGGAUGGAGGAUUUAACUGCAUCUCAAAACUGGAGCCAGAAUUGUGCCAAAAACUCCCUCUGUUGGAAAUUUUGAACCUCCAACACAAUGAGCUAUCUCACCUUUCAGAUCAAACUUUUGUCUUCUGCAUGAAUUUGACUGAACUCCAUCUAAUGUCCAAUUCAAUCAAGAAGAUUCAAAAUAAUCCCUUUCAAAACCUGAAGAUUCUGAAGUGGACGAAAUGUCUUUGGACACAAAGACCUCAAAAUCUGAAUUUAAUCAAAUUAGAUCUAUCUCAUAAUGGUUUAUCAUCUACUAAAUUAGGAAGUCAGCUCCAACUGGAAAAUCUCCAAGAGCUUCUGUUAUCAAAUAAUAAAAUUAAUGUACUGAGACCUGAAGAACUUGAUUUCCUUGGUAAUUCUUCUUUAAAAAAAUUAGAGUUGUCAUCAAAUCCAAUUAAAGAGUUCUCUCCAGGGUGUUUUCAUGCAAUUGGAAAAUUAUUUGGCCUCUCUCUGAACAAUGCUCAGCUGACCCCCAGCCUCACAGAGAAGCUCUGUUUGGAACUGUCAAACACAAGCAUUCAGAAUCUAUCCCUGAGCAACGCCCAGCUGUACAGAACAAGCAAUAUGACUUUCAUUGGAUUGAAAGACACAAAUCUCACCAUGCUCGAUCUUUCCCACAACAACUUAAAUGUGAUUGAGAAUAAUUCCUUUGCUUGGCUUCCACAUCUAGAAUAUUUCUUCCUGGAGUAUAAUAGCAUAGAGCAUUUGUUUUCUCGCUCCUUUUAUGGGCUUCUCAAUGUGAGAUACCUGGAUUUGCGACGCUCUUUUUCUAAACAAAGCAUUUCCCUUGCUUUGCAUCCCAAGAUUGAUGAUUUUUCCUUUCAGUGGCUAAAAUGUUUGGAGUAUCUUAACAUGGAAGACAACAACUUUCCAGGCAUAAAAAGCAAUAUGUUCAUGGGAUUGAUAAAGCUGAAACACUUAAGUCUCUCCAACUCCUUCGCAAGUUUGCGAACUUUAACCAAUGAAACAUUUUUGUCCCUUGCUCAGUCUCCUUUAGUCACACUCAAUCUAACCAAAAACAAAAUCUCAAAAAUAGAGAGUGGUGCUUUUUCUUGGUUGGGCCACCUACAGGUACUCGACCUUGGCCUUAAUGAAAUCGGGCAAGAACUCACAGGCCAAGAAUGGAGAGGUCUAGAAAAUAUUUUUGAAAUCUACCUUUCCUACAACAAAUACCUACAACUGACUAGCAGCUCUUUUGUCUUGGUUCCAAGCCUCCGACGACUAAUGCUCCGAAGAGUGGCCCUUAGAAAUGUGGACAGCUCCCCUUCACCUUUUCAUCCUCUUCAAAACUUGACUAUUCUGGAUCUAAGCAACAACAAUAUAGCCAACAUAAAUGCUGAACUGUUGGAGGGUCUUGAGAAACUAGAAAUUCUGGAUUUGCAGCAUAACAACUUAGCAAGGCUAUGGAAACAUGCAAACCCCGGUGGUCCUGUUCAUUUUCUAAAGGGUCUUUCUCACCUCCACAUUCUUAAUUUAGAGUCUAAUGGCUUUGAUGAGAUCCCAGCAGAAGUAUUCAAGGACUUACUUGAAUUAAAAAGCAUUGAUUUAGGAUUGAAUAAUUUAAAUAUAUUUCCACCAUCUGUCUUUGAUGGUCAGGCAUCUCUAAAGUCAUUGAACCUUCAGAAGAAUCUCAUAACGUCAGUUGAGAAGAAUGUUUUUGGGCCAGCCUUCAGGAACCUGAGUAAUUUAGAUAUGAGCUUUAAUCCAUUUGAUUGUACCUGUGAAAGUAUUGCCUGGUUUGUUAAUUGGAUUAACAGGACCCAUACCAACAUCUCUGAGCUAUCAAGCCAUUACCUCUGCAAUACUCCACCUCAAUAUCAUGGUUUCCCCGUGAUGCUUUUUGAUAUAUCACCCUGCAAAGACAGUGCCCCCUUUAAACUCUUUUUCAUAAUAAAUACCAGUGUCUCACUGAUUUUUAUCGUUAUCGUACUGCUUAUCCAUUUUGAAGGCUGGAGGAUAUCUUUUUACUGGAAUGUUUUAGUGCAUCGAAUUCUUGGUUUCAAAGAAAUAGACAGACAGCCAGAGCAGUUUGAAUAUGCAGCGUAUAUAAUUCAUGCCUAUAAAGAUAAGGAUUGGGUCUGGGAACACUUCUUUUCAAUGGAAGAAAAAGAUCAAACUCUCAAAUUUUGUCUCGAAGAAAGGGACUUUGAGGCAGGUGUCCUUGAACUUGAAUCAAUUGUUAAUAGCAUCAAAAGGAGCAGAAAAACUAUUUUUGUUGUAACACAGAAUCUACUAAAAGAUCCAUUAUGCAAAAGAUUCAAGGUGCACCAAGCAGUUCAACAAGCUAUUGAACAAAAUCUGGAUUCCAUUAUAUUGAUCUUUCUUGAGGAGAUCCCAGAUUAUAAACUGAACCAUGCACUCUGUUUGCGAAGAGGGAUGUUUAAAUCUCAUUGCAUCUUGAGCUGGCCAGUUCAGAAAGAACGGUUGCUGAAUAGAUAGAAGAUGCACAAGAGAUGACCCAUUUAACUGAAUAUAAGUCACGCUAAUAAAAGGAGGAGUCCUCAUCCCUGGGGUUCGAAACAAGGGAAGUGCAGAAAAGGAUGUUUGUCUGACCUAUUUAAUUUCCAAGAGUGAAGUGGCUUGCUUGAAUGCUCUCAAGGUGCCAUCAUGUUUUCUGUUUACUCCAUCUUCUUCCUGUUUUUCACUUUCAAAACAAAUUCCACCUGAAUCAACAUUGAGUUUAAAAUCAACCUGGGAAUUUAGAUUUUACCUAAAAAUGGCAUCUUUUUGACUGUAAUAAGAAGUAAAUGCUAUCGUUAGCAUUUACGAGGGGGGUUUUGUUAGCGAGGAGGGGGGUUUUCAAUGCCAUUUAUUUAAUGAUGUCUAAUUAUUCAAAUGUCUACCUUAGGUUAUUUGUAAAGGGAACUCAAUAGUAACUGAUGGUGGCCAUUGGAAAAUGUAAAGAUGCUCAAUAUGAAGAGCUUAAAAAAUAUUUCUUGCAAUCUAUAGAGGUAGAAAGCAGACUAGUGGCUGUCUGGACCUAGGGAUGAGAAUGGGGAGUAACUAUAAGUGGUGCAAGAGAUUUUGGGGUGAUGAAAAUAUUCUAAAAUUGGAAUGUGGUAAUGAUUGUACAACUCUGUAAGUUUUUUACUAAGAAUCAUUGAAUCAUUCUUAAAACAGGUGAAUUUUGUGGUAUAUGAAUUAUAUAUUAAUAAAGCUGGUAGAAAAACAGUAUUCAUGGAGCAGUGUGCCUUGCCCUGUGCUAAGCAUGAUGGGGCACAAAGGAGAUGAGCUAAAUUUUAGAAAAUGGGGCAAGAAGAGUUAGGGUAGGAAGGGACUAUCAAAGAUGGACCCGAACAAAAGUCUCCAUGGAAGAGGAUCAGACCUUUCAAAGGUGGGUAGGAUUUUGUUGAGUGCAGAGGCAGGUGGCAGAAUGAACAGUAAGAUGGAAGGAAGGAGGCAUAAACUUGGUGUUGGAUGGUCACAGGGAUGCUGCAGAGGAUGGAACCAUGUUGUAGAGAGCAUGAGAGAGGAAUUUAGAUUUAAGGAGUCAGGUGUUUUGAAAUUAUAACUUUAUGGGUUUCAAUUGGCAAAACCAGAAUUAAAAUAAAAUUCCUUCCUGUGAUCUACGACUUAGAUUUCUGUGACAACUCGGUGAAUAGAGGAUGUAACUUCUAACUUGACAGUACAAAUAUCCAGGCAUACUCCCACAUCACAGAAGGAGACUUAACGCACUAAUUUUUUCCUAUAAACAUGGAAAUCUAUAUUAAAGUAACCAAAAGAGGCCAAUUAAUUGGUCAUUAGUUGCUAAUUACACUAGGUGAUAUAUUAGCCAUUUUUAGCUCCUGCAAGUCCUUAGCCUUCUCCAUCUUCCUGUGCAAGGGAGAAACUGGUUCUGUCAUGUGACUUUCCCCCCACCCACUUCGUGAGCCAUCUUGCAUACAUUGGGCAGGAGUCAUGGGACUUUUCACUGAUGGAACUUUUCUGGUUCUAUGUGAGAAUUGCUGGGUAGCCAGUUUUGAAU